rnacentral:lncRNA from 1 species
UUCAUUAUUGAGAGAUUGUGAAAAUUAAGAAUAUACAAAUAUCCUCUUCAAUCUCUAUCCAAGGAGUUUGGUAACCUCAUUGCCUCACGAGCAACGGAGCUAAGGAGAGGUAGUUGGCUCAUGCCAACAUCCCCUAUUACACACAAACCAUAGCUAAUUAGGUACUCUCUAACCAGGGUAGUUAAAUACCGGCAUUUGCAUCCCCAUUAUUUGCUUUUAUAAGAUCUAGGAGAAACCACUUCAAGCACUCAAGGCUAGGACAAAAACACAAGCACUCAAGUCUUCGACCUAAAAUCAAGCAGAAAACGAUGGCCCCUUCUACCCUCACAGCUCUGGCAGAAGAGAAAACCCUCCAAGCAAGCUUUGUUCGCGACGAAGAUGAACGUCCGAAGGUGGCUUAUAACCACUUCAGCAAUGAAAUCCCUGUCAUUUCAAUAGCUGGGAUUGAUGAUGGUGGUGAAAAGAGAGCUGAAAUAUGCAACAAGAUCGUCGAGGCAUGCGAGGACUGGGGAGUUUUUCAAAUUGUUGAUCAUGGCGUUGAUGCUAAGCUGGUGUCUGAAAUGACAACUCUUGCUAAAGAGUUUUUUGCUUUGCCACCGGAAGAGAAGCUUCGGUUUGAUAUGUCUGGUGGCAAAAAGGGUGGCUUCAUUGUCUCCAGCCAUUUACAGGUAUAACUUCUUUUACGUUUUGUUUUCUAAAUUUAACAAUUACGCACAGACCUUUAUUGUUAAAUUCCCUAUCGGACUGAUCUUUUUCCAAAUUAAAAAUACAUGUUUCCAACUCAAAAAUAUACCAUGCCAAGGCAACAAGUAGUUGGUGCCCCGCUAGCUAGCAGGCAAAAUCAAUCAAACUUCUGUGAAAUAGUUAAACAGUUUUUUUGAGUUUUUUUAUUAUAUAAUCUUGAUUAGAAACUUAAAAGAAUAGAUUAUUCAGUUUGGUUUCACUAUAUAUAUUGGGUUUUUUUUUUUUUAAUGAGAUAGAGUGGGUAAAGUAAAAGUACAAUGCCUCACUUUAGGAAUCAGUAUCAUCAAGUACUUGAUGCUUUGAAGAUAGUAGACAGUACUAAUUUUUAAUCAAUAUCCUGAUUUAUGAUCUUAUAAAACAGGGAGAGGCAGUUCAAGACUGGCGUGAAAUAGUGACCUUCUUCUCAUACCCGAUUCGCACCAGAGACUAUUCAAGGUGGCCUGACAAGCCAGAGGCAUGGAAAGCAGUGACCGAGGAAUACAGUAAGAAGCUAAUGGAACUUGCUUGCAAGCUUCUUGGGGUCUUGUCAGAGGCCAUGGGAUUAGAAACAGAGGCCUUAACUAAGGCUUGUGUUGACAUGGACCAAAAGGUGGUGGUCAAUUUCUAUCCAAAAUGUCCACAGCCAGACCUUACACUUGGACUCAAAUGGCAUGAUUGGAGGAAGGUCUCCAAAUAAGAUAUUAUUUGCUAAGAACACUGGCAAGAUUUUCCAGACAGAUUUUCACCCUGCAUAUGACGCAAAUGGCAUGAUUGAGUUCAAUGAACCUGUUCCUUUUCGGCUAACAAGGAACAUGCAGGCAUUCUUCUCCCAUUUUGGAGUAGAAGGUCUUAUUGUGUCUGCCAUGUGUGCUGCAGCACAGGCUGUGGUUUCACCAAAAGUAAGUUUUGGUGACCAUCCUUAGUUGGUGAGUUACUUUGAUGGACAUCAUCCAGAUGUAAUGUUUUUAAAUUUCCAUUUUGCAGCAAAGCAAACAUUUAUGGCAUCAAUUAGCCAUGUUUUUCCGUGAUGAACUUCUGUCUUGGUCUUGGAGACGACCACUGGGGUUGAAUCUGGGACCUGCUGCCAGCGGGAGUAGUAUGAACCCUGCUGAUUUCAAGCACAAGGUCACUACCAACGUAGACAAUGUCAUCAACCGUAUCACUGGAAUUGCUCCACAGCAUCUCUCUGAAGAGGUAACCUCUAUCUCCAAUAUCCCAUCAAAUGUGAUGUCUCAAUUACAUAUUUUGGUAGUUAUGAAUAGCAGAGAUACAGGCCCUGACAUAUUUUGGUUAAUCUGUGGCAAAACCAUCAUGUAUAUUGUAGUGGUGAGGCUUGAAGAUAAGCUGCCUGAUUUGCUUUGGAUAUCUUGAAUCAUCAUCUCACACAUUCUUUGUGGUGAACUGAGAUUUAAAAUAUUGUAGAGUUCAGGAUUGAACUUAAAGCACCAUGGCUUUAUGGUUUGGAUCAGAUACAAGGAAAUUCAUUAACAUUGCAACCCUAAUUGGCUGGAGUUAAAACUAAGACAGAAGUAGCUAAUUUCUUCAUAUUGACUUUACCAAUCGUAUUCGAACAGAAAUUAUUCAUCUUUCUGUGAAGCAGUCAAUAAGCAUAUAUGAUAAGAAAGGUGACUGUUGUCCCAAAUCUGUCAUGAUGCCCAAAAAUGUGAUUAACGGAAGAUCUAAAACUAAUUCGUUUCCUUUGCUGAUGGAAGUGUUUUGUUUUCUUUCCCAUUUUGUGCUGCAUCAGGAAGAAAAUGCUGUGGACCCACCACAGUCGGUGCAGAGGGGUGUCACUGAGUUGGUAGAAGCUGCUUUGACACCAAGGAACUUGUGCAUGAUGGAUCCAACAUGGCAUCCCUGGUUUUAAGCCAUGAAUGGAGAGUAGCGAUUGAAUGUCAAUAGUGGUUUUCUAUUGUAAAUAAAGAUUAUUAUGUACAGCUGAAUCUGGAAAUUGCUGCUAGUUGUCAUUCAUUUUGAUGUCUAAAUAGUUAACGGUAGGCUUUAUAUAUGAAUGUCUACUUAUUGAAUUAAGCAGUUGCAUCAUGACAAUUCUACAAUCAGAUGGAAGAUUUUAGUCUUAGGAGUCCAUGAAAAUGGAACGUGUCUUAACUGAGUUUAUGCACAUUUUAAAUAGUGAACUUAUUAGUUUUUGCCCUUUCCGGGGGGUAUUUUGGUUCUCUUGAAAGGCUCAGUGGCCAUUAAAAUGAUUUAAUUACUUUUAAAAGUAAAAUAUUUGAAACUGGUAUCUAUAGGUUCUUAUUUACUUAAUUUGUUCAAGCACAUUAAAAUGAUUUAAUUACUUUUUAGAACAAGAUUUUUAACAUUUUAAUUACCAUUAAUAACUAAAAAAAUUUAGAACUUGUCAGAGGUUUUUUAUUUUUCUUUUUAUUAUGUAUUUUUCUUCUUUUUUGUUAUUAACAAAUUUAAUGAAAGCUGAAUCUACAAGCAGGGAAUCAAAAAAUAAAGACUAGGCAUCGCGCAAGAUGCUCCAUAGGAAUCCUUCUCUCUUCAUAAUUCAUUCUUCUUUUCGUUAUGGCAAUGCAAUGCAAGAGUAAAUUAUUGAGUUCGACUCGUAUGAAGAUGCUCUCGGGACUACUAAAUUAUUUCAUUUAUACUGUAAAAGUAGUAAACAUCCCUCAACAUCUUCUACUCCCUUCAUACAUGCAACAUAUAGAUUUCUAAAAAAACAGCCAAAACAGCAAAAACCCCAACUAUACAUAGGGAUCAUGUUAAAAUUCUUAAGAAAUAUUAGAUAAAUAAGAGGCACACAUCUCUCCAUGAAAUCCAGCUGCGUCAUCAUAAUCUUAAUUUCCGUGCAAAUAAGCACAAAAUCUCCUUUUAACUCCCGAGAAGAAUCCGCUCUAACAUCCCACUUUCUACCACACCCAAUAUUACUGUUAAGCUCUCUCAGCUGCUCUCUCGUUGAUGACAUUUUCUUGAUUUAAACUUCCUAUCAACACAUCAUUUGCAGAUGUGUUAAUUUAGAACGAGAUUUGCCACAAAACCGAUGACAUUAAUCUUUGUUCCACAGAAGCAUUAUCAUUUGGAGUUAUGAACAAACUAAAAGGAUUGCGCUAUUGUUUCAUUAAUCUUUGUUCCACAGUUUCACUUUCAUGUGUAAAAUCAAAACCCACAAAAUGCUCAAAAAAUGAACAACAAAGCAAAGGAAUUUAUCUUCCAAAUUAAUUGGUGUGGAGAAAGACAUCUAAUGACAAAACCAACUGAUCGGAUAAAAAAAAAAUCACCCAUUCCUCUUCUGUAUGGAAGCGUAUGUGCUUCCCUUUUGGAGUUGGCAAACCCUUCAAGCGUAAAUCAUUCCUCUUCUGUAUGGAAGCGUAUGUGCUUCCCUUUUGGAGUUGGUAAACCUUUCAAGCGUAAAUCAUUAUCUGAAUCCUUAUCUCCACAGUCUACUACUUCUUCAACAAUCUCAUCAUCACUGUUGUAAACAAAUCGUGUGUGCUUUCCUUCAAACUUGGCCAUAGCUUUCUCUUUGACACUUAUUUGGCUAAUGCCUUCACAGAGCUCAUCAAGCAACCCUCCAACAUCAGCCUCCUCCUCCUCCUCUUCUGCCUCUUCAUUUUCAUCACGAUAAUAAUAAUACUCUUCUUCUUCUUCUUCAAUUACUUCUUCCUCAUCUUCAUCAUGGGUGCUUGCAUUGACCUGAAUUGACCAAACAGAGGCAUUGUCAUCAUCUGCCAAUGACUUGUCUUUGCUUUCACUUGUUAUCACUUCACAGUUAUCUCCUUGGUAAGUCAGUGCAGAAGAGCAUUCUGAUGAAUCAGCUGGACUUUCAGAUUUCUCAGAGAAAUCCAGCAUUAAUGACCUCGUCAAACUCUUUUGAGAUUCAAGACUCUCUUGUUUCUUCACUUCAAAGAUCUCACUCACCCCCUGCCAUUAAGAUAGGAACCCAGAUCCAAUAAGAUCCAAAAAGAAAAUCAAAGUAACAGUUGAUAAAACUCUAGAUUAUCAAACACAAGACAACCUGUAUACUGUCUGCAAUUACAUUUUCAGUUUCUUUCAUAAAUAAAUACCCAACUCAAGAUUUCCAAUUAAAACAGUACGUCAGGAACAGGUACUGUUACCUGACAAAUCUUUAAUUUCUCUUCAAUAACUGGCAAGGGAGUGACAGAGGCCAAGACAAUGUCAUCUCCAGAAAGAUUAGGGACCUGAGGAGUAUUUGCUGGAGUUGGUGCAAGAAGUCCCAUUGGAGAAUUAACAAAUCCUUGAAGAUGCAGAAAAGGACGGCUCUCCAAAGAAAGUUUUGAGAGCUCUGCCUCUUCUUCAACUUUCUGCAAGAGGGUUUUCACUUGACCCCUAAGCAAUGCCUCUCCCGACCCAGGUGUGUUGGGGAUGUUGUCUUGGCUCUACUGUUCUUUUGCUUGGCUAAUGCUGAUGAUGGAGUCUCUAAAAUUCCCAUUGCAAUCCCAACAAUUGGUGAAUCAUUUGUUAUAUCAAUAAGUGCAGACCUAUCUUGUAGUUGUUGUUUUGCAUUCUUCCUUCUUGAUUUCGUUACACCCUUAUCAGAAGAAUCUUCAAUCUUCCCUGAAAUAGCAUCAACAACCAAGAAAUCUCAACAAACAAAUCCAGAAACUGUAUAAAGAUCAUUCUUUAUCAAUCCAAGAUUGAACAAAACCAAGGAUUAAUGCAAAACCAUUAUUUCCCAAUCUUUGAUUUCAAAGGGAAUGGAUGAAAACACUUACUUGAGAGGGGAAUAUUGUUGUUGGUGUUAAGAGCAGCAAGAGUUUGUGAUCUUGUAACUCUUUUUGUUGAAGAUGGGGUCUCCAUUGAAAUUAAUUCAAGAAGGGAAUAAGAAAAAGAAUCCGAGAGAAGAGAAUGAGAGAAAAACACAAAGCAAGAAAGCAGAAUUGAAAGCAAAAAAAUACAAAGUAAUGGAUGUUUUUGACAUAGUAGAUAGGGUUUAUAAAGUGAGAGAAUCUGACCGUUGGAGCCUAAACACAAGCACACGGAUUCGCACAUUUGCAGGGAAACUAGCCGUUAUGGUGGAUUAAUUUUGAAUAGUGUGCCUCCGGUUUUCUUUCGCACAGUUCCUUUGUUUGGGUUGGAGAUUUGGACUUGGUAUAUUGGGCUGAUCCUUUUAACCGGAAAGAAAUAAUGGAACUUUCUAAAGAUGCCCACUUCCUUUGAUACAUUUGAAUUUUAUACACACACACACUGUGUGUGAUCUUCCAAGAAAAAAUAAACCUUUUUUUUUUUUUAAUUUGUGAGAAUAAUUGGAUCAAAUUAACGGGGAAAUUGAAAAUAAAAUAAAGUAUUGAGUGAUUUGCUUCCAAAUAUAAACAUCUAUAUGAUUUUUCAAAAAAUAUAAAAUCAUGAUAAAAGCAGGUUGUGACCUGAUUUUUUUAAAUAAGUGUUGGAAGGUAUUCAAGAGUAUAUUGUGGUUGCUUUUCAAAGUGUUUUUCAUUUAGAAAUGCAUCAAUAAUUUUUUUUUAAAAUCAUUUUUGAUAUUCACAUCAAAACAAUCCAAAAACACUAAAAAAUAUUAAUUUUAAGCAAAACAAAUUAAAAUUUUUGAGAAUACAGGCUGGACGCAUUUCCAAACAAUCUAUUAACCUCAAAGACAUGAUUUCUUUAUUCAAUUAUUUCUUGUUUUUUUAGAUUGUUUUGUGAAGCAACUUUUAAUGCAUGUUAUAUAUACGUUAAUUUGUUCAAACUGUUAUGUAUAAAGUUAUUAAAAAUAUUUCUUUAACACGACACAGAAAUACAAUAUAAAUUUGAAUAAUAAAAAUAAAUAGUAAAAUCAUAAAAUUAUAAGUAUUGUUUUUAUACAUGGUUAGUACAAACAAUAAAUAAUAUUAUCAAUAAAGAUAAUUUGAUAGUUAUUCCCAAUGAAAUGUUAGCAAUAGUACAAAGAUUUUUUUAUUUAAGAUUAGGUUAGACCAUCCUAUUUUCAAAAGACUACAAGAUAAGUAAACUCGGUUAAGAUGCAAAGGUAUCAAAGUUAUCUUAAGGAGAUUAAUUCCAAGGAGAGAUAUGGAGUUUAUUGAAGUGGAGUACUUUCAAGUUCUUUCUUUCAAGACUUGAGAUGAAUGAGUUUGAAGGUACGAGAUUCAAGAUGUAUUUAUCCUAAUUUUUGACAAAAAAAUAAAUGCAUAGCCAUGGAUGUCAAUAAAGUUGGUGAAGCAACAAGAAGAUUUCGUGUGAAAAGGGUUCAUCAUUUAAGCAAGAAGCUCUAAUAGCUUGUUUGAUAGUAUUUUUUAAAUAAUUUUACGUUAAAAUAUAUGUUAAUGAUAUUUUUUUAAUUUUUAAAAAUUAUUUUUAACAUCAGUACAUCAAAAUAAUUUAAAAACACUAAAAACAUAUUAAUUUGAAACAAAUAAAAAAAUAACUUUUUUUUAAUUUUUUUCAAAAAUAUUUUUAAAACACAAAAACAAACAAAUCCUAUAAAAAACUUUUUUUCGGUUUCCAUUCAUAAAUGAAAAAGUCUUUGCAGCCUCUUGACUUUAACUAUAAACCCUUCACCUGAAGUUGCACUACCUGAUGUAUCAGGUGACAUGCAUCAGUCAUUGAACUUGUAGUGUCUUCAAUCGAAGAAAUACCAAAUGGGUAGGGAAAUUGUAUAUCCCCCCGCCCGCCGGCGCCCCGCCCAUAUAUCAUGCAAUUAUUAUCAAAUAAUGUUUAUUAAAUAGUGUUAGUUUUACCCCCAAAAUAAUUAAAGUUGGAUAAUAAUUACUGGGGAUAACGUCAAAAUAUAACGUGAUUUCUUAAUAAAAAAACAUGUUCAUGAAAUAAAAAUAUUUUUUUGUAAAAAUAAAAAACAUAAAUAAAAAAUUUACCUGAUAAUUUUUUAAAAGUUUAAAUAAUUUUUUUUAUAUAGAUAUCUAUUUUAACUGAUAUAAAAAUAAAUUUUAAAAAUCUUCACGCGAGAAAAAAUGGUGUUAAAGAACAGAAAAAAGAAAAAAGAAAUUAAAAUAGGCGUUGAUGGAAAGGUAGGGAGAGACCGGGGGUAGGUAGAAAGGCACUGGGUAGGCAGAUAACUUUUGGACUUUUAGGUGAUGAAAAUGCACGUGACGACCUAGGAAGGGGUUGGAUUCCUAACCUUCUUAUAUAGGAAUUCUUUAUUAUUUUAUUUAUUUAUUUUUGGAAAUCUUCCUGCAUCACACAUAAUGACUUUAAUCAUGAAUGAAGCUAUUAAUCCAUGUCUGUUUUUUUCUAAAAUAUUUUUGAAAUUAAGGAAAUGAUCAUGUGUUUAUUAUUAAAUCAAAGUAUAUAAUUAUUUAUUUGAUUGCUCAUAACAAAUCGCAAUUUGUGGAAAAACAAAUUAAACAAAAGAGUAUAAUGGAGGCUGGAGAAUGGGGACAGAAGAUUAAUUAUGUAAUGGCUCAUCAGAUUAAAAUACUAAUUUUCUUUAGAAAUAAUCAAUUGAAGAGUAUACUAAUUUUCUUUUGCAUGUUACCCACUUAUUAUUCUGUCGGUGGUUUUGUUAAAAAUACUUCAAUUGACAGAAUCAUAAAUGAUUAUUGUUUGUCAAAAAAACUUAUUUAUAGAAGUAAAAACAAAUUACUUUAUAAUUUUGCCAAUAAUUCCAUUUAUAAGUAUGACAUGUUAUUAACAGAAAAUAUCAUUUGUAAUUUCAUCGGUGAUUUAUUUUUAUAUUAACAAUAUAAUUAACUUGUCGGUGAUUAAAUAAUGUCAGCGGCAUUUCUUAUAUUUUUUUUCCAAUUCUUUGCAACUCUAUAAUGAGUUUAGCCCAUCGAUGAUUCGUUUGCAAUAAUAAGUGGUAUUUCAGGUAAUUUUUAGUAUGUAAGUAAGUGCAUCAAUAAGUUGAUUAAUUUAUUUUAUUUUAUUUUAUUACAAUUAGAAUAGGACCUAUUACUGGAAUGGGUUGCCAAUCACUAAAUUCUUGGUUUAAUUAUUUCCAAACAGAGAAAAUUACAGUCAAUUCAUUUAAAACACGAAGAUAACAAAUGGGGUUUUCCUCCUGAGUUGUUAGCGAUCACCAAUGGAGCACGAAACCUGGCAUACAAAUUAAAAGCUAAAUAGGACGACAAUAAGUCUAAAUUAAGCACAAAAUCAUCCACCCCAUUAUUAUAUUUUCAUUAUUGAGAGAUUGUGAAAAUUAAGAAUAUACAAAUAUCCUCUUCAAUCUCUAUCCAAGGAGUUUGGUAACCUCAUUGCCUCACGAGCAACGGAGCUAAGGAGAGGUAGUUGGCUCAUGCCAACAUCCCCUAUUACACACAAACCAUAGCUAAUUAGGUACUCUCUAACCAGGGUAGUUAAAUACCGGCAUUUGCAUCCCCAUUAUUUGCUUUUAUAAGAUCUAGGAGAAACCACUUCAAGCACUCAAGGCUAGGACAAAAACACAAGCACUCAAGUCUUCGACCUAAAAUCAAGCAGAAAACGAUGGCCCCUUCUACCCUCACAGCUCUGGCAGAAGAGAAAACCCUCCAAGCAAGCUUUGUUCGCGACGAAGAUGAACGUCCGAAGGUGGCUUAUAACCACUUCAGCAAUGAAAUCCCUGUCAUUUCAAUAGCUGGGAUUGAUGAUGGUGGUGAAAAGAGAGCUGAAAUAUGCAACAAGAUCGUCGAGGCAUGCGAGGACUGGGGAGUUUUUCAAAUUGUUGAUCAUGGCGUUGAUGCUAAGCUGGUGUCUGAAAUGACAACUCUUGCUAAAGAGUUUUUUGCUUUGCCACCGGAAGAGAAGCUUCGGUUUGAUAUGUCUGGUGGCAAAAAGGGUGGCUUCAUUGUCUCCAGCCAUUUACAGGUAUAACUUCUUUUACGUUUUGUUUUCUAAAUUUAACAAUUACGCACAGACCUUUAUUGUUAAAUUCCCUAUCGGACUGAUCUUUUUCCAAAUUAAAAAUACAUGUUUCCAACUCAAAAAUAUACCAUGCCAAGGCAACAAGUAGUUGGUGCCCCGCUAGCUAGCAGGCAAAAU